rnacentral:rRNA from 1 species
UCCACGCCCUAAACGAUGCACACUAGUUGUUGCAAUGCUAGUCAUUGCAGUAAUACAGUUAACACAUUAAGUGUGCCGCCUGGGGAGUACGGUCGCAAGAUUAAAACUCAAAGGAAUAGACGGGGACCCGCACAAGCGGUGGAGCAUGUGGUUUAAUUCGAAGAUACGCGAAGAACCUUACCUGGACUUGAUAUCCUUUCUUACAGAGAUGUGAGAGUGCUAGUUUACUAG